GUGCUUGCUUUGGCAGCACAUAUACUAAAAUUGAAGUGAUACAGAGAAGAUUAGCAUGGCCCCUAAGCAAAGAUGACACACAAAUUCGUGAUGCAUUCCAUAUUUAA